GGGGCUCACCGAGGAGAGCGGCGUCGUCGCAGGCCCCGGAGCCGCUCGGGACCCGGGAGGAAGGGACGCCGGGUCAGGCCCACCGGGGCACCUGCGCUCCUUAAUGAGUCUUCUCCGUUUCAGAAAGUGGGACUCCCAGGCCCCCCCGGCCCCCCAGGGCCGCCCGGGAAGCCCGGCCAGGACGGCAUUGACGGAGAAGCUGGUCCUCCAGGUCUGCCUGGGCCCCCGGGACCAAAGGGGGCCCCAGGAAAGCCGGGGAAACCAGGAGAGGCCGGGCUGCCGGGACUGCCGGGUGUGGAUGGUCUGACUGGGCAAGAUGGACCCCCUGGACCCAAGGGUGCCCCUGGGGAACGGGGAAGUCUGGGACCCCCGGGGCCGCCCGGGCUGGGGGGCAAAGGCCUCCCUGGACCCCCCGGAGAGGCAGGAGUGAGCGGCCCCCCAGGUGGGAUCGGCCUCCGCGGCCCCCCGGGACCUUCUGGACUCCCCGGCCUCCCUGGCCCCCCAGGACCUCCCGGACCCCCUGGACACCCAGGAGUCCUCCCUGAAGGCGCUACUGACCUUCAGUGCCCAAGUAUCUGCCCGCCAGGUCCCCCAGGGCCCCCUGGAAUGCCAGGGUUCAAGGGACCCACUGGCUACAAAGGCGAGCAGGGGGAAGUCGGCAAGGACGGCGAGAAGGGUGACCCUGGCCCCCCGGGGCCCGCCGGCCUCCCGGGCAGUGUGGGGCUGCAGGGCCCCCGGGGAUUACGAGGACUGCCAGGGCCACUUGGGCCCCCUGGGGACCGGGGUCCCAUCGGGUUCCGAGGGCCACCUGGGAUCCCAGGAGCACCUGGGAAAGCG
rnacentral:sRNA from 1 species